rnacentral:rRNA from 1 species
AGAGUUUGAUCAUGGCUCAGAAUCAACGCUGGCGGCGCGCCUAACACAUGCAAGUCGAACGAGAAAGUGGAGCAAUCCAUGAGUACAGUGGCGUACGGGUGAGUAACACGUGGGUGAUCUACCCUUUGGUGGGGAAUAACUUUGGGAAACCGAAGCUAAUACCGCAUAAUCCCGAGAGGGAAAAGCAGCAAUGCGCCGAAGGAGGAGCCCGCGGCCGAUUAGCUAGUUGGUGAGGUAACGGCUCACCAAGGCAAAGAUCGGUAGCCGGCCUGAGAGGGCACACGGCCACACUGGCACUGAAACACGGGCCAGACUCCUACGGGGAGGCAGCAGUGGGGAAUCUUGCACAAUGGGGGAAACCCUGAUGCAGCGACGCCGCGUGAGCGAUGAAGCCCUUCGGGGUGUAAAGCUCUUUCGGCAGGGAAGAUUAUGACGGUACCUGCAGAAGCAGCUGCGGCUAACUACGUGCCAGCAGCCGCGGUAAUACGUAGGCAGCAAGCGUUGUUCGGAGUUACUGGGCGUAAAGGGUGUGUAGGCGGCUUUUUAAGUUUGGUGUGAAAUCUCCCGGCUCAACCGGGAGGGUGCGCCGAAUACUGAGAGGCUAGAGUGCGGGAGAGGAAAGUGGAAUUCCUGGUGUAGCGGUGAAAUGCGUAGAUAUCAGGAGGAACCCGGUGGUGUAGACGGCUUUCUGGACCGUAACUGACGCUGAAACACGAAAGCGUGGGUAGCAAACAGGAUUAGAUACCCUAGUAGUCC